CCCUAGGAUUAUUUCGGUCGUACAGUUCGCAUUAGUGGUAUCCGUUGAGUUAACCCGUAUUGAGUCCGGCGGCGGUCGUCCGAGAAUUCGCUCAGGAACUCUCGAACCGUAAAACCGUGCGCCCAAAUGGUUCCGUUGCCUCGGGCGACGCCACCGAUAGAGCGUACAAGGCGGCCCGCGGGUUAGGGCACCGUCGAUACGCACAGUUACGGU